AUUUGUGUUAUAUUGGGUCACAUUAUAUCGGGGUAGAGGUGUACUGGCAGAUGACAGGAGAUAAUGGAUACUUUUUUUUUUUGCUAACGUCUAAUUUAGCUUCUUUGAAAAGGAAGGCUAGAUAGCCACAGUUUGUGUUAUUUUGAGUAGGGGCCAAACAGUGAUCUGCUAAACCUACUAGUUCAGUAACCUGAAGGUGAAGAGCUUCCCAGGGAAAACAGGAUAGCCAAGACCUACAUUUUUAAUGGAAAGAGAAACAAAAUCUAAAAUUUUCUGACCUUUUUUAUGUCAUUGAGAAACCAAAAGAGCCUUGGUUCCAAUAAUUUUCCUUUACAGGUCAUUUUAACUAAUAUUUAAUUAUACUCAGAAUAAUUAAAUAUUAGUUAAAAUGACCUGCAAAGUUUUAUAGAGUUGUAGGAAAGGUGACUUGGCCCUGCUGCCAUGGAUAGCAUAAUUUAUGUCUGGUUUUCCUGUUCUUUCCCUUUUGUCUCUGAUCUCUUUCAACCAUCUAGUCAUGUAUACCAAUAGAUAAAUAUUGAUGUGUACUGUUUCCUACUCAUUAAUAUAGAGACACAACUACACAUAGCAGGAGAGUUUCCCUUUGUUUUCAUUAGUGUUUCACAAAGCCUGGUCAACAGACAAUUUUUGUAUUAUUGGGGGUGAUUUUUCACCGGUAUAGUUAUCCUGCUACAAUCCCUAGUAUGGACACAUAUAUCGGUAUAAAAGUGCUUUAUGGCAAUACAGCUAAUUUGCCUUCCCCCAUAGAAAAAACUAUACCAGCAUAACUUUCUACAUUAGGCAGGUGGUAUGCUUUAACUGUACUGGUUCAAAUAAAUGGGUACAAUGUUUGUGUGUAGGUAAGUUUUAAGGCAUGCGCCUAUGGGAUAUUGUUAGCAGGGAUGCUUUUCCCACUGGUCUGUUCAGCAGCAGGUAACCCAUUCUCUUCUCAUCCCAAUGCAUUUUAAUGAUCUUAGUGCUAUGAUCAAUCUGAGCUAUAACUUCAUGGUGAAUUGGGCAGGAGGAGGCAAAUUUAGAAGCCCUCCAAAAAGGGAGAAUAUGGAAAUAAUGUUAUAAGGAGAAAUCACUUUUGUUAAUGUUAAAUCCCAGGUUAAAAACCAUUCUCCAUUUAUUGAGUGGUCAAAUGCUCCAUCUAAUGGUUGCUAUUAGCAUUGGCACAUUUAGUCUUGAGCACUAUACGUAACCAUAAAACAGCUCCAUCUUGUGGCCCAAGGCAAACCUUUUUAUUUAACAUGUUUAUUACAGUAAUGCCUAAGGGCCAACCAAGAGUGGGGACCUGUUGUGCUAGGUGCUGUACAAACAGAGUGAUAGUCCCUGCCCCACAGAGCUUACAGUCUAAAUAGACAAGGCAGACACAGGGAGAAAACACAAGCAGAGUGAACUAUGUGAUGGCCACAAAUAGUAUGUUAGUGAGACUGCUGUUUUGAGUGGGGGGUUAUUUGGGAGGGGAAAGAGGUUGAGAGGGACUGAGCUGAGGAGAAGAGGUCAGAGGGGCAGGUGAGGAGUGAAGCUUAGGUAAAGAGUCUGUGGGGAAGGGGGUGCAAGAAAGUUGGCACAAACAGCCACUCAAAAUGGUGGAAAGUUCUCUAGAUAUCCAAAGAUCCCUAGUGCCCGCAGAGAAUGGUGAGUCUCCGCUGCACAGUUCUGAGUUCAGGGAGGUGUUGGAGUCAAACAGUCAGUGGGAGUUAGGCCUCUAGGGGCCCCCUCCUUGGCUUCAGAACCUAAACAUCUACACAGCUAUUUUUAGCGUCGCAGCAUGAGUCUGCUUCAUUGGCCCUGGGAUGCUGCGCAGGGUUGGUUGCCCCUCUUCCCACAUAUAGAUGUACCCAAGUCACUUAGAGGCUUUUUAAAAAAAUGUUACCAGUUUAGUUUGAGGUCUAGUUCAAUUUUUUUGCAUAUUGAUCCCCCCCAACCCCCAUCUUUGGUUAGCAGGGGCCACGCAUUAAAAGCCAUCUAACAGAAUCAUCUUUGCUUUGUGUUAAACUUUCUCAAACCAAAUCCUGGCCUUGUUGAACUUACUGGGAGUCUUGCCAUUAACUUAAAUGGGGUUAGCAUUUCACCCUUUGAUUAGGAUAUAAACCCCCACCAGUAGUUAGGGGGUUAAGGGGAGCUGGAGAGCUCAGUGAGUUCAUCCUGUUGCACCUGGAGGAGGGGCCAGAGCCAAUUUGGGAUGAGACUCAGUUGGGGAGGGUAGGGGCCAGAAGAGGUGGUCCAGUGGAAAAAAUAGAUCGUGGGACCCUUUCCUAUUCGGAAGCUGUUGAAACGGUCGAGAAAGCUGGGCUGUAAAGGAAAGGAAUAUCCCUGAGCAGCAGGUCCUGAAAGAAGGGCAGGACCCAGGAGAGAGCUUUGAAAAGAGAGUUAAAGCCCUGAAAGAGGAAUAUGGUUAGAAAGCUGGGCCUUGGAAGAUGGCUCCGACUAAAGGAAUCACAGAAGUACCUGCAGGAAGGAGCUUGUACCAGAGGAGACUCGCAAAGUCUCUCUUCUCCCAGGCCUGCUUUAGGGAAGAAGCCCUGAGACUCAGGAGUAGCUGGGCCUCCUGAGAGAAACCCCUGGGAGGCAGUGCUCUGUGGAGGAGGAGGAAUGCUGCGGAGCUGGGGAGGAGAUUGUGCAGAGAAUUGAAGGAUAGAAGAGUUUAUGUUCCUUUGAGUUUGGAUAUCGUUACCCAGAAGGGGUGGACGUAAAUCAUGACCUGGCUGGAGGGCUGAGUUAAUGUGGGACCACAGCAAGCAUAAGCAGGGAAAGCUGCUAUGCCACAACGAUCCAUGAGGUGGCGCACCAGUGUGACAUUUUCUUCUCCCCUCUGCGGGUCUUGGAAAAGAGCAGCAUCCAGAAUGACAGGGCUGCCCAAUGGCUCAGUCCUGCUGCCCUAGGAAUGGAAACUGGCCAUCUUGCUGAGCAGAGGUGCUGCUCUGUGUUACUGGCCCGAGAAGGUGAGAGGAGCAAUGCCUCAAGGGGGAGAAAUGCUGGCUGAGGGGAUUUGUUUCCCCGGUGAAGGCUCCGCAUUAAACAUGCUCACACAGCAAGUUGCAGCUG